rnacentral:rRNA from 1 species
UACGGAGGGUGCAAGCGUUAUCCGGAUUCACUGGGCUUAAAGGGUGCGUAGGUGGGCAGGUAAGUCAGUGGUGAAAUCUCCGGGCUUAACCCGGAAACUGCCGUUGAUACUAUUUGUCUUGAAUAUUGUGGAGGUAAGCGGAAUAUGUCAUGUAGCGGUGAAAUGCUUAGAUAUGACAUAGAACACCAAUUGCGAAGGCAGCUUACUACGCAAUGAUUGACACUGAGGCACGAAAGCGUGGGGAGCAAACAGG